UUGGCGGACGGGUGAGUAACGCGUGGGUAACCUGCCUUGUACUGGGGGACAACAGUUGGAAACGACUGCUAAUACCGCAUAAGCGCACAGCUUCGCAUGAAGCAGUGCGAAAAACUCCGGUGGUACAAGAUGGACCCGCGUUGGAUUAGCUAGUUGGUGAGGUAACGGCCCACCAAGGCGACGAUCCAUAGCCGACCUGAGAGGGUGACCGGCCACAUUGGGACUGAGACACGGCCCAA
rnacentral:rRNA from 1 species